rnacentral:rRNA from 1 species
AGUGAACGCUGGCGGUAGGCCUAACACAUGCAAGUCGAACGGCAGCACAGUAAGAGCUCGCUCUUACGGGUGGCGAGUGGCGGACGGGUGAGGAAUACAUCGGAAUCUACUUUUUCGUGGGGGAUAACGUAGGGAAACUUCCGCUACUACCGCAUACGACCUACGGGUGAAAGCAGGGGAUCUUCGCACCUUGCGCGAUUGAUUGAGCCGAUGUCGGAUUAGCUAGUUGGCGGGGUAAAGGCCCACCAAGGCGACGAUCCGUAGCUGGUCUGAGAGGAUGAUCAGCCACACUGGAACUGAGACACGGUCCAGACUCCUACGGGAGGCAGCAGUGGGGAAUAUUGAACAAUGGGCGCAAGCCUGAUCCAGCCAUGCCGCGUGGGUGAAGAAGGCCUUCGGGUUGUAAAGCCCUUUUGUUGGGGAAGAAAAGCAGCAGAUGAAUACCCCGCUGUUCUGACGGUACCCAAAGAAUAAGCACCGGCUAACUACGUG